rnacentral:misc_RNA from 1 species
AUCGUCAUCUUCAUUGGCAGCCUGUGCGGGCUGUGCACCAAGUGCGCUGUGUCCAACGACCUCACCCAGCAGGAGAUACAGACCCCGGAGCCCUCUCAUCUUGUAGGUGAGGAAACCGAAGGCCUGAGGGAGAAAUGACUUGCCAGGAACCCCUGUUAAGGAAAAUUAACAAAGUGUGGUUAUUAAAGAAGAACUGAGUUGGGAGUCAGACCUGGAGGCCCGCACCCGUGGUUAAGACAUUAUACCACCUUGAGUCUGGCCUGUUGACUGAGGAUACAACAGAGAAAUGCAUAAUGUCCAGUCAAUUUAUUAAAGUUCCAAAGUCGGUCGCGCGCAGUGGCUCACGCCUGUAAUCUCAACACUUCGGGAGGCCGAGGCGUGUGGAUCACGAGAUUUCAAUAUGAUUAAAGGUAUGUUUCCAGUCUCAAUAGAAAUCGAUGCCAAUCCAGAAAUACAAGCAUUAUUCUAAUACUUCUCACACAUUACUGCAGGAGUGAGGACACAGCGAAAGUGAGACAAGGAAAAGAGAACAAA